rnacentral:rRNA from 1 species
UUGGGUUAAGUCCCGCAACGAGCGCAACCCUCGCCGUUAGUUGCCAGCACGUUUGGGUGGGCACUCUAACGGGACUGCCGGUGUCAAACCGGAGGAAGGUGGGGAUGACGUCAAGUCCUCAUGGCCCUUACGGGUUGGGCUACACACGUGCUACAAUGGCAGUGACAAUGAGUUAAUCUCUAAAAGCUGUCUCAGUUCGAAUUGGGGUCUGCAACUCGACCCCAUGAAGUCGGAAUCGCUAGUAAUCGCGAAUCAGAAUGUCGCGGUGAAUACGUUCCCGGGCCUUGUACACACCG